rnacentral:lncRNA from 1 species
UUUUUUUUACAGAUUAAAAUUUUGAUUACUUUUAUUAUUUUCAUUAUUUUCAUGUAGUUUGAUUAUUGUCUUAGAUUUGUAUAUAUUUUUUUAGUAAGAUUAUGUAUAAUUUAAUAUAUGUUGUUUUGAGAAUCAAAUAGUAAAAAUAAACUAAAGUGUUGAUCGAUUCAAAAUUACAUAAAUAAAUAUAACAAUAAUACUUAAUUGUAAUAGUUGGUUA